CUUAUACUCCCUCCGUUCGAAAAUACUUGUCGGAGAAAUGGAUGGAUCUAGACGUAUUUUAGUUAUAGAUACAUCCAAGUUUAUUCAUUUCUCCGAUAAGUAUUUCGGGACAGAGGGAGUAUUUA
rfam:Triticum urartu cultivar G1812 contig1403519, whole genome shotgun sequence.